CUCUUUUAGGGCAGAAGUAGUUAUGUAAUGGUAAAUCUAACACAUAGGAUUUACGUUUCAAAUGCAGGUAAAAUUCAGUAUUUUGUACUGAAUUCAUGAAAAAGAUUUCCGCUUACCGCCUGUCUUCAUUUUCAAUGUAAAUAAUAGGGUAGCGGUUUAAACCUAGUUAAAAAAAUGGUGAUGCCACGAGAAAAGUCUUUUUGUGUGCUGCAGUUUGAGAAAUGCGAAUCGAUUGUGCAAGUGCAACAUGAAUUCCGUCGCCAAUUCAAUGAAAAUCCAUCUCGUCAUCCUCCACACUUCUCUUAACAAAGAGAAGGAUCUUGUCAGAAGGCCCUGGUUAAUCUAGGCGAGGUGAUGUGGACUCCUACCCCUCUCUGAAACAGCAUUUAUACUAUAAUAGAAUUGAAUCUAUUGCCAAAGAGGAGAUUCUGAAUCCAACGAUGUUAACUUUGCUUUCAUCGCUCCGGAGUUGAUAAAAUAAAGUUCCAGUCAAUGCUGG